rnacentral:rRNA from 1 species
CCUACGGGUGGCUGCAGUGAGGAAUAUUUGUCAAUGGACGAGAGUCUGAACCAGCCAAGUAGCGUGAAUGAUGACUGCCCUAUGGGUUGUAAACUUCUUUUAUAUGGGAAUAAAACGAGGCACGUGUUCCUUUUUGUAUGUACUUUAUGAAUAAGGAUCGGCUAACUCCGUGCCAGCAGCCGCGGUAAUACGGAGGAUCCGAGCGUUAUCCGGAUUUAUUGGGUUUAAAGGGAGCGUAGAUGGGUUGUUAAGUCAGUGGUGAAAGUUUGCGGCUCAACCGUAAAAUUGCAGUUGAAACUGGCAGUCUUGAGUACAGUAGAGGUGGGCGGAAUUCGUGGUGUAGCGGUGAAAUGCUUAGAUAUCACGAAGAACUCCGAUUGCGAAGGCAGCUCACUAGACUGCAACUGACACUGAGGCUCGAAAGUGUGGGGAUCAAACAGGAUUAGAUACCCGAGUAGUC